rnacentral:lncRNA from 1 species
ACCAAACUCUAACAAAGAACACUGUUUAUUUUUUCUUUUCUUUUCUUGAGAUAGAUAUUUUUUAUUUUAAGUUCUGGGAUACAUGUGCAGAACGUGCAGGUUUGCUACAUAGAUACACAUGUGCCAUGGUGGUUUGCUGCACCUAUCAACCCAUCAUCUAGGUUUUAAGCCCUGUUUUGAUUUGAAUAUUAUUCAAUACAAGUGAAGAUUGAAAUGUGGACAUUUAUGCUAAGAACAGCUUCUGGAAUUAUAGAUUUGCCUUGUAUUCUUACCAAUUGUAAGAUGGAUAAACAAGCAGAAAUUCAAAAUGACAUAAUUAUAUUUCUUUGCAUCUGGAUUUUAUUCUGUUCCUGGUUCAAGUUUCAAGAUUGCCAAGAAUGACGAGUUGGACUUGGUCUAGUUACUUCCACAGCAGCAGGAGGAACAUGUGUGUGACUCAGGAUAACUGGGGAAGCCUUGGCUAGGCUUUCCUCAUGUCAACCUACCACUCAAAGGGAGAAAACCUCCUGAUCAGAGGUGCCCAGAACCCAGGUUUGGUGGGGUUGGUUGAGGGGUGAGUCUGGAGAAACUAGAAAUCUAAGGGGGUGUGUGUGUGAACAUGUUUUUUGUUUUUUGUUUUUUUUUGACAGGAAAUCCAUAAUUUUUGAAUGCUGGCUGAGGUCUGUGACCUCUGACUGAAUGGUUUCCAAGCUCCGAAUUCCUAGGUGAUGUUUUCAUUUGUUCACAGUUGCUGAAGAAGGGAAAGGCUCUCUGAUUUACGUGUAAGCAAAACAAUCUAAACAGUAGGAUAAAAUCAUGUUGGAAUGGAGUUCUGUGUGGAUGCUCCUUUGAACCAAAUCAGUUCCACAACUGACCCUGUCAGGGACAUAUAAAUUUAGCAUUUUGGUGUGGAUACAGAAGACGAGAUUAACACAGAUCAAGUAACAUGGAAAUAAAAAAGGAGACAAUGCUGGAUGAUACAGGGGCAGCAACAAGAGGAGAAAACCCAAGCAUUGGCAAAUGCCUCAUUAUCC